rnacentral:rRNA from 1 species
GACGAACGCUGGCGGCGUGCUUAACACAUGCAAGUCGAACGGACAGGCCCUGCUUUUGUGGGGUGCUCGAGUGGCGAACGGGUGAGUAACACGUGAGUAACCUGCCCCUGACUUUGGGAUAACUUCAGGAAACUGGGGCUAAUACCGGAUAGGAGCUACUGCUGCAUGGUGGGGGUUGGAAAGAUUCGGGGGUUGGGGCUUGACUAGCGGGUUAUCAGCUUGUUGGGGGGGUUGUGGCUUACCAAGGCUUUGACGGGUAGCCGGCCUGAGAGGGUGAAAGGCGACAUAGGGACUGAGAUGCGGCCCAGACACCUACGGGAGGGAACAGUGGGGAAUCUUGCCCAAUGGGCGGAAGCCUGAUGAAGCAGCGCCGCGUGCGGGAUAACGGCCUUCUGGUUGUAAACCACUUUCGCAUGUAACGAAGCGUGUGUGACGGUAAUGGGUAAAGAAGCACCGGCUAACUACGUG